rnacentral:rRNA from 1 species
UACAGAGGUGGCAAGCGUUGUUCGGAAUUACUGGGCGUAAAGGGCGCGUAGGCGGUUCGUUAAGUCCUGUGUGAAAUCCCCCGGCUCAACUGGGGAACUGCACAGGAAACUAGCGGGCUUGAGUUCGGGAGAGGGAAGCGGAAUUCCGGGUGUAGCGGUGAAAUGCGUAGAUAUCAGGAGGAACACCGGUGGCGAAGGCGGCCCUCUGGACGGUGACUGACGCUGAGACGCGAAAGCGUGGGGAGCAAACAGG